CGAACAUUUUUUAUUUUUAUUUUUUAUUAUAUUUAUUUACGGAAUUUCGGGAAUGCACGUGAUUCACAUUAACGUUGAAUUUUGACUUUUGAAAUGUUGUUCGGUAGAAUAAUUUUUCGAAUAUCGCUAUUUACUGGUCUUCGUUCAUGGUUAUUUUAAAGACGAAUCGCUGCUUGAGAAAGGUCCUAGGGAAGGAACCGAAAACGUUCGCAGUAUAUUUUACGAUUAUUUAAUACCGGUUAUUGGUUUUAGCAGCUUGUCAGUUCUCCUUGCAUAAAAUUCGGUGAUUUCAAAUCAACAAAACAGUCUUUACGGGCAGAGUCAACUUUUUAAUUCAGGCUUCUCAUCUACCUUAUUAUUUUGUUGCUGGAAGUAAUGGUCCA